rnacentral:rRNA from 1 species
UUGUCCUACGGGGGGCAGCAGUAGGGAAUCUUCCACAAUGGACGAAAGUCUGAUGGAGCAACGCCGCGUGGGUGAAGAAGGUCUUCGGAUCGUAAAACCCUGUUGUUAGAGAAGAACGUGCGUGAGAGUAACUGUUCACGCAGUGACGGUAUCCAACCAGAAAGUCACGGCUAACUACGUGCCAGCAGCCGCGGUAAUACGUAGGUGGCAAGCGUUAUCCGGAUUUAUUGGGCGUAAAGCGAGUGCAGGCGGUUGCUUAGGUCUGAUGUGAAAGCCUUCGGCU